CCUGAGGAACAGGCGGUACAGGGGGAGAGUCACGUCUACGUUCCUGCUGAUCCGGCAUCUAAUGGUGUAUUUUUAAAAGUUUACUUCAGUUACACGCUGCACUCUGGAAGCUGAGACGUCGCUGGCUCGGUGUCAGGAUUCACGAGUAAAUAGAGGACACACACACACACACACACACACAGCAAAAUCCCAGCGACAAGUUCUGCCUCAUACUGACUCUUUUUAAUCGGGGAAAUGGAUUCUGAUAACCAACAUGGUCGCGGGGGAACCUGGAGUCUAUCCCUGGGAGCAUCGGGCACGAGGUGGGGUACACCCUGGACAGGGUGCCAAUCCAUCACAGGGCACAAUCAUAUACACACUCACAUUCAUACACUACGGGCACUUUAGACACGCCGAUCAGCCUACCGUGCAUGUGUUUGGACUGGGGGAGGAAACCGGAGUACCCGGAGGAAACCCCCGCAGCACGGGGAGAACAUGCGAACUCCGCACACACACACACGGCCAUGGUGGGAAUCCGACCCCCGACCCUGGAGGUGUGAGGCGAACGUGCUAACCACUAAGUCACCGUGCGCCUGAGGCUAUAUAAUUUCAUCCAAAACUAAAAUUGAUCCAAAUCAGAGUUUACUUAAGAUCUGACAUCAGAUCAUUUCAACACAGCUUGGACACGGUCACUAACACUAACACUAAAACUAACACUAACACUAAAACUAACACUAACACUAAAACUAACACUAACAGGACAAACACUAACUCAAAGGAAGACAAUACGGGCUCUGAUGAGAAGUUCUGGAGGCUAGACAAGCAUUUUCUACGUAAAUUAAAAUUGCUUCUACAUGUGUGUCGUCAACAAAAUUCAGUAAAAAUCCAAACUUCAAAAAAAAAAAAAAAUUAUUAUUAUUUUCUUUUUUUUUUGUCGAUUCAUGCGUCUGAGUAGUCUGGAUGUCUUAGUUGUGUGAUUUGGAAGUCGGAUAUAUGCCAUUCAUUAAAAUUCAGAACACGACUGUAUUUGAAAUGUCUCAUGUUGUCACAUACAGUCAGUGACAAAAUUAUUGGCACCCAUAAUGAUGACGAUGUAAAAAGUAAUAUCACAAGCAGUGAGUGAUACUUAUUAACAAAUGCAUAGCAGAAAGAAUAUAAAAAAUAUACGGGAAUCCGUAUAGUUUUACUGUAGCGCACUAUCCCCCCCCCACACACACACACUUUUUCUACAGACCAUGGUUUCAAAAGUUUUGGCACCCCACAUUUAAUACGUGCCGAACCCUCUGCUGAGUUUCUUCCUGUACAGUUUAACAAGCUCGGAGUCCUGCGUAGAGGAUUUUGGUUCCCUUCUCCGUGCACGACAUUUGAAUCUCCUUCAGUUCACACUACAGGUGUUUAAGAGGAUUCAAAUCGGGACACUGAGAACCCUUAACCCUUAAAACCCAUCUUUUUACACCAUUUAAAAAAAGAGGUUCGUGAGAAUGUUCUGUUAAUGGAAGGUUAGUAGUUGAAAAAUGUUUAAAACGGUGUGUGUGUGUGGUUUUUUUGCUUGUUUGCCAAUAAUUCAGGACUUGACUGUAUGAAGAAUGGCAAACAUGGAAUAUUUUGAAAUGCAAAAAGAUUUUAUCCAAAGGUAGAGAAUAAAACCGAGUGCGCCCUCUACUGGUCAUCAAGAUUUUCUCAAGCAUUUAUUUCUGAGAAGAAGAAGAAGAAGUAGAGAAGCAAAAUGACAGUAUUCAUCCGUGACCAAGCCUGUUCAUGGACUGAAUGUGGUGUUGUAGAAGAGCGAGCACUGAGUGAUUGACACUCCUGAUUGAUCUCACUGAUGCAUUUCCACCUCCUCAGCACAGGUAAGUUCGCUCAGGUGCAGCUUGUGUUUCAGGUGACCAAAAUUCAAUAUCCUGCUCUCAUCCUCUUUCAUUCACAUCACAUCUGAAGGAAUGCAUGCGUGCAUGAAGUCACUUAGUUUCCAUAGCAACCGGCGCCUGCAUAUGGAAACCGAUCUUAAGAAGUACACCGAGUUACCGGAUAAAAUUGCAGCCUAAGGCCUUUUCUGUGACCUCUAAUUGGAUUUCGGUAAAAGUGGAGGAUCUUCAGUGCACCUUACAGGCAGACCCAGACAGCCUCAUUCAUCACUGAUCAAGCUGGACAGUAAUUCAUUCAUUCGUAAUUUGCUCUCAGGAGCACUUACACACGAAUUUGGUGUGUAAUGAAAAUGCAGUUAGCUGGAAAAUAAUUCGUAUCAAUUCUCAUAAUUUCACUCCUGGAGUUUUGUACGUUUCUGUAUAAAGGGACUCACUAAUGUGAACCUCCACUGUCCGGCUUCAAACUGUAUAAUUGUCGAUGAGUUACUGUGAUUUUCAAUCACAUACCAAAUUUGGAGGGAACAGCUAUUACCUGCUGUACCACUGAUGUGUUGUUGUCAAAUACGUUCCAUCAGGGACAAUCCAUAACAUCUAACCACCAGGUGUCAGUGUAGAGCUCUAAAACCAAUGUUACUAUGCACAGAGGACACAUGCUUACUGGGCCUUUAAAGUUUCCUGAUUGGUGGAAUCAGACCAAACUCACUUGACACCCCAGAGCAACAUGUUCCAGAAGCUACUGCCUAGGUUAGUCUUCCACUCAGUACAGUUCAAGAGCCAUAUGUUCAGCCAGAAUGUAACUGGUCUCCACCACUUACAGCUUCUGAAAGAAAGACACAGCCUGCUUUAAAACUUUCUGAUGUCAAUCCACCGGAAGUACAGAGAGUAAUCGUCGAGCACAUGGUAAGAAAUGAAGAUUCUUCUAUGCACGUACACACACCUUUACGACUCUGGUCCUUCUCUGGGCGUUCCCCUCACCCCAAUAAUGAAGACUGAAGCAUGGCGUUCUAAUGUGGAAACACUCCUCAAAGACACAAAACUGACAGAUAUAUAUACAAGUCAUGCAAACUCCUUGAAAGCCUUUUGUCACCUGCCUUUGACCUAGUGAGGCAUCUGACACCCGGGUCUCUCCCAGGCAUGUAUUUGGAUAUCCUAGACUCUGCGUUCGGCACCAUUGAAGAUGGAGAUGAUUCCUUUGCAAAGUAUCUUAAUAGUAUGCAAGAUAAUGGUGAGAAGUCCUCUUCAAAGACUACGAAUGAUGCUGAACGCCGCCUUCAGGAGGGGAGGUGUGUCUGCAAGCGACCUUGACGGGUAACUCUUGAAACAGUUUCUUAGGGUUUUUUUGGACAACAUCUUAAUAUCAGAAUUACAGCUAGAACAGAGGAAGCAGAACCCACCUACUUCUUCGAAUUUCUCGUUACUCCACACAGCAGAAGACAAACGGACAUCCAAAGCAUCCCGCAUCAAGCAGUACUCGUAUUAGCAAGUAGUAAUGUAAAGCAGAAAGUCUCAUCUCAUUAUCAAGGUGCUUAUUUCCAGUAUGACGAAGGGUGCACACCAUCGCCAUCCACCUCUGAUUCCAAAAUUGAAAUUCAAGACCUGAAGAGACAGAUAGAUGAUUUUACAAUCCCAGCUCACCCAAAUUACACAGAAGAUCAGUCGAAAGACGCCGACUAGACCAGCAGCCGAACCAGUAAUACCCAAAUCGGCUGUUACAAGGUCUGCAGUCGACAAUACCACUCGAUAACCACAAUUUCACAGCCGAGGUGCAAAUAAUAACACCAGCAAUAGGCCACAACCCCGGUAUUGUUUCAGCUGUGGGGAGGAUGGACACAUCAAACCCCUGUCUCAGGGUGAGCCAAACCCCUCUCUAGUAGCCUCAAAGAGGAAGCAGCUAAAGGAUAAACCGCUAGCAUGGGACAUUGAGAAUUUUGCCUCAAACCUGAUGGUUUAAUCUAGGUUCAGUUCCGGUUGGAGGACGAACAGAGACUGAAACCCAAGCAAAACGUCCUGAGAAUGGAUAGUUAGUGACCCUGCCAAAAGGACUAAUUGGGGCCAAGUGCACUGCACAAGUGACAAGUUAUUGAUUGUUUGUUAAACACGCGCUCUCAAGUGACAACACUCCCCAAUUCUUUCUAUCAAGAGAACUUGUCCUAUUUUCCUAUCCACUCAUUGAACAAAUUACUUAGAAGUAGAAGGAGCUAAUUUCCAGGAAGUCCCUUACAUUGGAUAUGUUGAAACGACAGUCAAGUGCCCUAUAAGUUCAUUAGGAGAAGACAUUGAGGUCCCCACACUAGCCCUGAUCGUUCCUGCUCUGCUGUCCACAGUUUUAAUAGGUACAGACAUCCUUUGUUUGUUUUGUUUGUAGUGUUACGGUAAAGUGUUGUUUCUGUAUUCAACAUCUAGUCUCCAGCGUAAGUUUUAUAUCUUUUUCGGCGUGAAGACUCACGGCCAAGAACACACCAAUGAGCCGUGUUUACUGCUGACAAGUUUCUUCUGUAAAAUAAGACACGCCCCUGGGGGCAGGGCAUAUACAUCCUAGAGAGCUUCUAAUUGGACACGCAUAAGCCGAGUACAGGACGAGUCAUCAAAAAAGUUUUGAUUGUCUUCCUGGGAGUGACGAAUUAUCAAAUUAAAAUGUCCCAAACUCAUUUCUGUAUUAUUUUUGGACAUAAAAACAGUAUUAUUAAAAUCUUGGCACCUCAUUCUCACAAUAUCUCACUGAGCCUUCCCUGUUCCCUGAGUGGUCGCUGAUGUUUGAGCUUUUUCUUGAUAAAAUUAGACUUGACAUACGUAUACAUUAGUCUUGACACUCGGGCCUAGUUCUUUUUGCUUCUUCCUGAUAUGACAGGAUGAGAAGAAACCGAUAAACACGAAUGCAGGUUUCAUAUCUCCUCUCAUCCCUCCUGCUUUCAACAACUUCCUCAGAUUGAGUAAAUUCCAACCCACAUCCAAAUUAAUCCAAUAUCUCACUGCGGUUCUGUGUCUGCUUCUAAUUACGGCCUUCGCUCCAUCGACAUCUCAGUUCCACGCUAUAUACACACUGAUGAUUUAGGAGGUUCCUGGAACUGACAGGUUUCCUGCAGGAAGGCGUGAGGUUACAUGGCCAGGCUGCUCUAUCUUCUCCGAGCAGUAAUCUGUACCUGCUGUGAAAUCUGACUCGGAGCCAGUACGUAUAUUUAAUGCUGCGUGAAUCCAAAUCAAAUUAUUCCUCGUUCUCAUUCUUGAGUGAGCGUGAGAGACGAGGAGCUGUUUCGGGAACACAGUCUGACUUCUUUUCGUUUCAGUCCGCCAAAUGUAAACCGAUCGACAGUUCAAUGUUCAUCGGAAACUACGGUAACUUAAACCUGCGACUUUUCCACCCAGACCAAAUAAUAUGACACUUCUUUGGAGGAUUAUUUUGUUCGAUCCAUUAGAGACGCCUUACACCAUCUGGUCCUUUUGUUGAACCACUUGCAUGCACGGUCAUUCAGUAUUGCAGCAGUACUGAAUAUUAAAAUAAUUGUUUUUAUUCAUUUCGAAUAUAAAACAACAGAAUUGUUAGAUAGAAAGCCAAUUUAAAUUGUAUAUUGAAUUAAAGCACCACGACUAGAAAUUAUUACAGAGCAGAGUAAUACAGCAUUAUCAUGUUAAUCCAGACUAUCAUUUCUGUACAAUAUCCAAAUAUUAGAGAAAAAAAUGUAUAUUUUUUUGCGGUUAUCAGCUUUACUGAGCUCGACUGCUGUUAAUUAAAGUAAAGCAGUUUUAUUUUUUUUAAUUUAGGUAUAUUAGGUUAUUAAAUUCAUCCAUGAGCUUAUAGCUUCCUAAUUUGCAUUUUUUUUUUUUUUAAUUAUCAAAAGUUUUCCAUUAUUUAUUAAAUUGUUUCACAAUUUUUCUAUAAAAAUUUUUUUCCUGUACUUUUUUUUUUUUAAAGUGAACCCGACUAUGAAGACUCGUAUGGCUCAUUAGAUUAACCCUGACACCCAUUACAUAAAUCCGCUAUAUAAAAACACUCUAGAUGCCUAGAAAUAAAAAAUCCUUGCGCUCGUAGGCCGCCAUUGCUGUUUACGUCGCAAUGCAUUCUGGGUAGUGACGUCAAAUGUUUGCACCGGUCUCGAUUCUCCAGCGACCCUACAGAGAUAUAAACAUGCCUUCAGCCUUUUCGAUUUGAACCCGAGCGUAGCAUAAGCGAGGAGGAUAAUAUAGAAGACGUUACUCAAAACGUCCAUGAGGAUGAAGACGAUCAGAGAGGAGAGGAGGCGAGAGUGGCGCAAAAUCCACGGUGUCUGUGCAGCAACUGCACGUCUACGCCAGCCGAGAGAGUUUGUUAUUCAAGGUAAGUAUGUGGAUUAAACUAUCGUCUUACGAUGGGAACAUAUUCUAACAUCAAUUUUUUAUCAGCCAUCAAUAUCAAUCAUUUUAGAGAUUAUCAGCCAUCUCGCCGUCGUACACUGUCGCCAUGUUAUGAGCAAAUCUGUGCUAUCUACACAGCUUCUGCGUGUACGAAGGUACUCGUAUCUUUGGAAAGCUAAGAUUCUUGUGAUUCGAUUGAUAUAAACUGUUUUGAGAUACAAUCACAACAGCAGCUACAAUCAGCGUCUCCGUCAGACCACCAACAUACAAACAAACACUUCACGAGAACUCACCUCAUGUGAAGCCUCAUAGUAAUUCACUGAUCCAUAACAUCCUGACAAAAACACCGGCAAAAGGUCCGAACAAUGCAAUUAUGUAAAAAAUAUUUAGUCCAGCUUUCAAAAGAGACCAAAACCAUGCAUGUGCUCCAAAUGGUUCAGGGACAGCUUUAAUUUUACUUUGGGUAUGCCUUGGCUAGGCGUUUUAGGUGAAUUUUACAGGAGAACAUCUACGUUAUGAGAAUAUACAGAAAAAAAACACACUAACAAAAUGCUUACAGGUUUGAUUAUAUUUACAGAUAUCCCCUGUGUCACAGCACACAAGAACUAGAGCAUUACAGACAAAAGCAGCAGAGUGUAGCUGAGUGUAGUAACCAUCUGACAGAAACCAGCAUGAAGACUGGAGGAACCCAAUAAAUUCACUCCAUAAUUUCACACUGAUCUUCUUAGACCUCAGCUAAUCCUGAUAUUUAUUCAUUAGGGUUUGCCAAGGUUAAAUCACGUAGACAGCAAUAUGAAAAUAUUUUAUGGUAUUUUGACAGGUUGGGGGAAAAAACCCAGAGUGAAGCCUCCGGGGGCCGGGUCUCUCACACCUUAAAGUUCAAGAAACGCCCCUGUUGCCAACCCUGGACCUGGAGAACCCUCUGUCCUUCACAUUUUAGUUUGUACUUCCUCCAUCACUUCCUCUAUCCUUUUUUUUU